GAGUGUGACAUCUCUUUUAGAAUUUGUCUAGCAGGUCUUCUUGUCUCUACCAGAAUCCCCCU
rnacentral:snRNA from 1 species